rnacentral:misc_RNA from 1 species
GAAAUUUAUGUGUUAGCGGUUAGCAUUUCCACAACUAACUACGAACACCGUUACAUUUGCCGCCAAAAGCUUGCCUCAGCAGCUCUGCUCUGAAAAACAGAAGCAAGAAAACCAAGAACAUCUUUUGACAGCUCUUUCUUCCAUGGCAUUCUUGCUCAUGCUUUUUCUCUUUAUCCUUUUUAUCUCUUGUUCUUAUGCUCUUGCAUCUUCUACUACUGCCUUUCUCAAUGCCUUGGACCUCCUCUCAUCCUCUGGAUAUCUCUCCAUGGCAUUAACCCUUCAAAUCACUUCCAAAUCUCUCAAUCUUGAUUCAUCGGCUGCAACAAUAUUUGCUCCAUGUGACCAUGCUUUUGUAAGAUCUGGCCAACCUUCCAUUCUUAAGCUCCAAUAUCACAUUUCACCAAUGAGACUCACCAGGGAUGGCCUCAAUGCUCUUCCUAUUGGCACAAGAAUACCCACGUUGUUGCCAAAUCAUUCCUUGGUUGUUACAUCUUCUUCUUGCGCCACUUCAAACACCAAGUUGUCCAUUAAUGGUGUUUCGAUCCAAGAAUUGGCCAUUCUUGAUAAUAGGUCUGUGGUAAUAUAUGGGAUCAAUCAUUUCUUUAAUGAUUCUUUCGAGAUUCCUCUUAAUUUGGCACCAGCAAUGGGUCCUAGUUCGAUGACUGGUUUUAGUAAUGAGUCCGAGAAUGGAUCAUCUGUGCUUGGCGUUGAUUCUUUUCGUCCCGCUUCAGAAUUUCUAGUUUCUAGAGGUUAUUCAAUAAUGGCCACAUUUCUUGAUUUGCAGCUGUUCGGGUUUAGGAAUGAAACCAGAUUGACAAUUUUCACUCCAACUGAUGAAGCAAUUGAAGCAUAUGCGAGGAAUAUUAAUGAUUACUCGUUCAUAUUUCGAGGACAUGUUGUUCCUGGAUUGUUUUCAUGGCAGGAUCUGGUUUGGUUAAAUGAUGGAACAAGUUUGCAAACUUUUGCUGGAGGGUUUGUGAUCAAUGUUACUAGGUCUGGUGAUGUGGUUGCUCCAAAUGGGGUUUUAGUUAUUUUUCCAGACAUGUACUACAGUGAGGGGCUGAUCAUGCAUGGCCUUAAUGGGUUGCUUAUGAAGCAGGAGAAGUUAGGAGAUUCAUUCUCAGCACUGAAUGGAGAAGAUAAUCUUAAUCAACCUGAUUAUGGUGAAAAUGGAGCACUAUGAAUGAGCCGGUUCUUGGAUGUAGCAUUUGUGCACUUCUCUCUUAACAUCUUGUUUACCUGCACCAUCAUGGGUACACGAACCAUUUUCUCUGAUGCAAGGAUGCUGUAAUUUUUGCAUUAAAUCUUGCUUUAACUCUUACUAGAUUCAGUCUUUGUAUUUCUGUGGUUAGCCACUUCAAAAUUCCAUCAACUUUUUGCUCAUUUGUCUAGCUGAUAUGAAAGUCCUUCAUUUAGUGUCUGCUGCUGCCGACAUCAAUUCAUUUCAAGCAGUCAAUAUGUUUGGCAGUAGAAUUCAUGUUUAUAUAUAGGUGUGGACAUGCGUGUGAGAACUCGAACUCUGAGGAUGGUAAGGAAAUCUGCUCUACAAGUUUAUGUGAAAUUUCACGGAGAUACUUUGGCCAAGACAGGUAUUGAUGAACAAGAAGGAUGUUUACAGUAAAAUGAAGCUCAUAAUUUCACAUCAGUGUCUGGUUUUUGAAGUAGAAGCUUGAGCAUCAUAUGAGGUUUCAAGAGAGAAAUAUUGGUCCCUAAAUCUGAUGCUUGUACUCCUACCUUCCUCGCUCUUUGAAACGCCGGAGAAACUAGCCUUCGCUAACUCCCUAAGCUUCUUCAACUCAUUCUUCCGCUCCAAUUUCAGUUCUUUCAACCGUUUUCCUUCCCCUGCUCUCUGCCCUGUAAGGGUUGCUCCUGCAGUUGGGGAACUUGUUAUUUGAGUAACGUCCAGGCCUGGUGGUGAACCAGGACUGAGCACAGGAACCACUGUUGCAGUCAUGGCACUGUAUGGUUCUGCAAUGGCUGCUGUUGUAUCUCUUCUUCCAGAUUCUAUUUCUGGACUUAGAGGAGGGAUGGCAGAUAGGCCUGUUUUUGGUUGAGAGGAACUAGGGAUGAUUCUUGACCAGUGCUUUCUUGGAAGGAAAGGCAACACAAGACCCUUAGCAGCAAACUUCAACCCAAGCCUGAAAGAAUUCUUCUUUGGCCGAGAGAGUCUUAAAAUGAAAUUUAUCAGGGCAUACCACUCAUUUAUAAUUUGAGCAAUAAAGGUUAGGAAGAGGAGAGCCAACAUUAUAUAUCCCUGAGUUCUUCCUUCAGUUGGAUUUAAACUAGUUAUAGCAAUCGAUAAACCAAAAAUACCUAUUUCACAUAACAGAGAAAUGCUCUCUACCACAUGGACUCCUCUUCUGAUGUAUGGUCUGAGAGCUAACAGGUAAAUGAACUGUAACAGUGUUAUUACCAAUGCAAAAAUGCUUUCCCUUGAUGUUUGAGAAGAGCGAGCUCCAGAUAUUAUUCCUAAGCUUACUCUUCUUAAAAGAUCAAGAACAAUGUAGAAAGAUCUAGCACACCCCAAGAUUCUUCUGGAUAAGGGUACUUCGAAUUCUUCAUAGCUCUCAUCUGAGCUGAGAGCUCUCAUUCUUCCUAUUCCACUCUGGCCACUUUCAAUCCACUUGGGUAUGGUUCUUGGGUCAUUCUGAUCAACAAAGACAAACAAAGGAGGACCCUUUCGAUCCUCAAAAAGAAUUCUAAACCGUGAAAGGAAAGUUGAUGGCGGCCCGUCCCUAAAAAACCAUUUUCCAGUUGUUGGCCUCCCAACAAAGAAGAACCACAGCUUUGUAUGCCAUGACUCUGUUAUAUCCACAUGCCUGAUUUCCUUGUACUGAGCAAAACCCCCAGGGAAGAUGGCAACUACAAGAAAAAGGCUAACUGAUAAAAUAAGUGCUGCUGGAAUUACCAGCAAAAAAGCGCCAGUGAUGAUUCCCCACAUCGUUUCCCCUCUCAUAACAAAUGCUGAUGACUGAGAAAUACAAGGUAAUGUGAGAAUUAGAAGCAGAAGCUCAAACCUGGGAACUGAAAGUAUCCCGUGAGCUGGUGCUUCUAUUCUCCAUCUCAGGAAAAGUAAUAUUAGAACAUGAAUUAUAAGUAAACUGCCUCCUCCCACCCCAAGCCAAAACAAGUUCAUCUCCAAGUCUUUCCACCUGUUGCAGAAACAUUAUCAGAAAUAUAAUUCAACCCAAUAAGUAAUUUACUAAUUAAAUUGCUAGUUGCGAACAGCAGUUGCUCUUUCCCAUUGCUUUUAUUGAUAUUACAGAUCUCUAGCCACGUGCUAAUGAAAGUGAUUUUUUUUUCCAAUGAAGUAAAAUCAGAAUAAUUCUGAUGUUACCCUUUGUAAUUCUCCAUUCUCUUCACAACAUUGCUUGCAGACAAUGGCUCUCCUCUCAAGAAAUAAGUGAAAUAUUCUCUCGAAUUGAGUGGUAACCCAUAUGGUGAACUUUUCAUGCUCAUAUUGUGUUGAUGAAGCCAAGCAAAGUUUGGGUCUAUAUCUGUAAGAAAAGGUAGUUGAUCUUGUACUUUGGAAAGAUCAGUUGUAUUUAGAUCAAACUGAGGAUUGACCCUUGUGUGAUAAGGAAAGCGAAGGGGUACUAUUUGGAGAUUUUCUUCAGCCAAAUAAAAAUGGUUAGGCCAUGUUGAUGUGCCAUCCUUUUUCCAUGGAAGCUUUUGACGAGGUAUGAGCCACCUCAGACCUUUUAUUGUCUCCGAAUAUUCAAUUGGAUGGUUAUCUGAGAACCAAUCUGAGAGAACAAACACUUGAAGAUGCCCAUACAAUCCACGCAGAUUCAUUGAUGGAUUGGAAGCAACAUUAUUUGUAUUUCCUGAGGCAAGAGUGCCCAUUGAGCCAAGAUUUGAUGAGGAAAGAGAAAUUGCAGCAGCUGCCAGUGAUGUUGCUAAUACUCCCACCGUCACAAAGGAGUGUAGUGCCACUGAUAUUGCAGGGGUUGAGUAGUGCUUCACUUGAAGUUGGUUGGAGGCCAAAUUUUGAUUUCCUGAAAUGUCAUUUACUUUCCCUGCAGGAAUGCUGAUGAAUGCCAUGUCCGGAGUUGUAGCAAGGACAGUGAAUGAGUACAGAGCUCUUGAAAGUUCCUGGAACCUAGAUGAAGAGAGUUAAGGCAGUUAAACCGCACUACGAGCUUUUUGUCUAGUCUUCUAUGUCUAGGCAUUAAGAAAUUAUAAGACUACUAUUGGCAGAUGAAAUCUAACAUAAUCAAUCAUAUAACGAAAUGAUGACUUAGUGUAAUUGCCAUUAUGUUUUUAUUUAAUUGCAAAAUAAAAAUGUAAUUUAUCUAAUCUAAUAUGAUGAUAUUAUUUUAUUUUAUAUUUAGUUUAUUUGUUGUGGUACUAAUAAGCGAGUGAAAAUGGCUAGUUUCAGUUACUAACCAGCUUCGAGUCAAAACUAACAAUUUCAAUUAGUGAAACAGAAGGCCCAAAAUUAGAUGGCAGAGAAUCAAUCGCAACUUAAUUACACAGCCUAAUGUGUAUGCUUGUGAACUGCAGUAAGAACAGCUUUGAGAGCCACAUAUGCACCUGCCUUGUAAGUUUCCCUCCUUCCACUUCUACCAUGGAAGCCUCAAAGCCAAAAACUGGCUUUGUGAACUCAACUAUCACAUUGAUGUUGGAUGCCUUUGUCACAUUUGGUGAACUGGUACUUAGCCCUACCUGAGGCUUUGUCGAAUCUUGAGGAGCACAUAUGAAUUAGUCAAGCUAUUAAACAGAAUAAAUGGGAGAAACUAAUCUGGAGAUCACAAAGCAUACCAUAGAGUACUGUAAGCGCUGCAACAGGUGAGACAGAAGUGCCUGUCCUGCCAAUUACUAACCCAGCUUCCAGUUCAACAGUGAGGGUUUCAGUCUUUGUUACGUUCCUAAGCUACAAUUUUGAAAUCUAUUAUCAUUAAAAUAACAACCUGAUUUUCAAGUAUUUCACUGGCAGCUAUCAGUAAAGGUGCAGUUCCGAUGCCAAUAUCAUUCAAGUUUAAGUAUAGGCUGCUUACCUGAAAAACAAAUUUACGAUUCCCAUGAUUUCUGAUCGGUGAUAUAUUACCAUAAUUCACAUGCAAGGCAUUGAGAAGUUCUUCUGUUGAAUUCACAAUAGGAAUGCUGAAAUCCAAGAAAAUUUUUAAGUCCUCCAUUUUGUUAGUUGCCAUAACAGUUCUUGGGAUUCCAUUGAUCUCCAAUACAUAUGAUGGAACUGGCAUCCAUAAAUCUACCAGCACUGGUCUUCUAUCAAAAUGAAUAACAGUAAUGGAACCAUUUGUCCUUUUAAAAGUGUUUCCAGCCUUGUCUGUACAAAAAUUAUCUGCCAUUCUAACAAUUACUCGCCCAUUUAUACUCUCCAACGAAAGAAUUAUGUCAAGUCUAUAUUCUAUGUUAGGUUUGACCGUGUGAAGUGAAGAAGCUUGAACAUAAGCUGGACCCUGUAAUAAUACAUCACAAUUUGAUGAGUUUACACAUUUGAAGCCACCCAUUCCAGUGCAAGCUUCACUGAAUGUAACAUCAAUGGUUACUUUUACAGCAUUUGUGUAAUUCUUUUCGCUAAAUAUAGUUGCAGUUGGUGGAACUGUAUCAAUGAACCAGGAAUAAGAAGAAGAGUUUUUCUCUCCAUUAUGAGUUGUGACCUUGAGAAGAAAACUGUGCUUGUGAUUCACAGUUAAGUUCUUCAAUACUAUAGUAUCAGCUGGACAUGAUCUCAAAGUAUAGCCAUCAAGCUCACAGGAAAUGGAACACCCAUUCUUCUUACAAGCAUUGGUCCCAUCUAGCCUCUGUACUGAGUAUCCGAAAACAGCAUCAGUGAACCUUGAGUGUUUUGGAGGAGCUUUGUGGAAGUGAAUGAUAACAGUUGACUCAGCUGAGUCUAAUGCACCCACUGCGAAUGCUGCAACACAAAAAACUAGUUUAAAAAGCACUAGCAAAACCAUUUCAGGAGCUGCAUGUACUUCACAUUUGAGCAAAAGUAAAAAAAAUCAAAGAGGAGAAAGAAGGUAAGUAGAUAAGCUUUUGUUUGCAGAGAGAAAAAAAAAAUGAGAGCAGUAGGUGAGAGGAGAGGCAGCAAACGUCUAAUGUUCUUUAUGGAUUUAUGUUG